AGCAGCCGCGGUAAUUCCAGCUCCAAUAGCGUAUAUUAAAGUUGUUGCAGUUAAAAAGCUCGUAGUUGAAUUUCGGGGUUAGUAGGCUGGUCAUGCCACCGGUAUGUACUGGUCUUUCUGAUUCCUCCUUCCUGAUGAACUGUAAUGCCAUUAAUUUGGUGUUGCAGGGAAUCUGGACUGUUACUUUGAAAAAAUUAGAGUGUUUAAAGCAGGCUAACGCUUGAAUACAUUAGCAUGGAAUAAUGAAAUAGGACGCUCGAUCCUAUUUUGUUGGUUUCUAGGAUUGACGUAAUGAUUAAUAGGGAUAGUUGGGGGCAUUAGUAUUCAAUUGUCAGAGGUGAAAUUCUUAGAUUUAUUGAAGACUAACUACUGCGAAAGCAUUUGCCAAGGAUGCUUUCAUUAAUCAAGAACGAAAGUUAGGGGAUCGAAGACGAUCAGAUACCGUCGUAGUCUUAACCAUAAACUAUGCCGACUAGGGAUCGGAUGAUGUUAAUUUUUAAUGACUCAUUC
rnacentral:rRNA from 1 species